UUUAAAUGGCCGCAGUAUACUAACUGUGCAAAGGUAGCAUAAUCAUUAGUCUUUUAAUUGAAGGCUGGUAUGAAUGGUUGGACGAAAUAUUAACUGUUUCAUAAAAAUUUAUAUUAGAAUUUUAUUUUUUAGUUAAAAAGCUAAAAUUUAUUUAAAAGACGAGAAGACCCUAUAAAUCUUUAUAUUUAGUUUAUUAUAAUUAAAUAGAUUAUUUUUAUUAUAAUAAUAAAUAAUAUUUUAUUGGGGUGAUAUUAAAAUUUAAUAAACUUUUAAUUAUUUAAGUCAUUAAUUUAUGAUUAAUUGAUCCGUUAUUAACGAUUAAAAAAAUAAGUUACUUUAGGGAUAACAGCGUAAUUUUUUUGGAGAGUUCAUAUUGAUAAAAAAGAUUGCGACCUCGAUGUUGGAUUAAGAUAUAAUUUUAGGUGUAGCCGCUUAAAUUUUAAGUCUGUUCGACUUUUAA
rnacentral:rRNA from 1 species